AAUAAGUUGACUUUACAUUAUUCUUUCAGGGUUGUUGGUAAAGUAGCUCUUGCCAGGGAUCAUUGUUGGGUUUCCUGUGAGGAUAUUCUUACCCCUAAAUAUGACACUGAUUUAAUCACAGAGUGUCCUGAUGAGUGGCUUCUUCAAAUUGCAUGUGGCAUCAAGACUAUUGUGCUUGUACCGGUUCUUCCACUAGGGGUUUUGCAGUUUGGUUCAUUUGAAGAGGUACGUAUAUAUAGUAUUUGAAUCCUGACCCAGACAGGCUGUGGCUUUUACAAUUAAAAUGGUACCCUAAUGCAUGCAUAUUUAUUACUCUUGUCUACAAAUUCUGACAAUCUUGUCCCCCACCAUAAAUUUUGGAUUUCUGUUUUGAAAAAAGAUCUUGAAUUUUGUAUUUGAUUCCUCCUUUAAAGUGGUGAACUUUAGAUGAUAAAAUAUGUUGAGCUAUAAC